GGAGAUAUAGCUCACCUGGUAGAGUGCUUUGCCUUGCAUGCACAAGGCCCUGGGUUUAAUUCCCAGUACCACAA
rnacentral:tRNA from 1 species